UAUCUUCGAAGCUGACAGCAGCAGUGUGCUGAUGCUGUUGUGGAUUCGAGUGUCGGGAACGAGAUUCAGCUGCGACAACGUUGGCAUUGAAUGAUCAAAAGAGGCGCGUUGUGAGAGCUGAAGCAUCAGCACGGAUUUCUUCAAAAUAGACUGGAUUCAAAGCGACAUGUUGGAUCCAGACAGAAAGAAAACUGGUGGCUGCUCAAGAAAAAACCUUCCGAAAUCAGAAUCAGAUCUUGGACGUCAUCUCUGAGACAUUCCAGCCCCUUUUCCUGGACUCCAGCAGGAAUUUCAAGCUUAUUUAGGUGCAAGGCAAGUGAUUUUAUUUUUCCCCUGCAUCAAC